UACGGAGGGUGCAAGCGUUAUCCGGAUUCACUGGGUUUAAAGGGUGCGUAGGUGGGCAGGUAAGUCAGUGGUGAAAUCUCCGGGCUUAACCCGGAAACUGCCAUUGAUACUAUCUGUCUUGAAUACCGUGGAGGUGAGCGGAAUAUGUCAUGUAGCGGUGAAAUGCUUAGAUAUGACAUAGAACACCAAUUGCGAAGGCAGCUCACUACACGAAUAUUGACACUGAGGCACGAAAGCGUGGGGAUCAAACAG
rnacentral:rRNA from 1 species